rnacentral:rRNA from 1 species
GAUCCUGGCUCAGAUUGAACGCUGGCGGAAUGCUUUACACAUGCAAGUCGAACGGUAGAGGGGGCAACCCCUCGAGAGUGGCGAACGGGUGAGUAAUAUAUCGGAACGUGCCCAGUCGUGGGGGUUAACGUAGCGAAAGUUACGCUGAUACCGCAUACGAUCUACGGAUGAAAGCGGGGGACUCGUCAAGAGCCUCGCGCGAUUGGAGCGGCCGAUAUCAGAUUAGGUAGUUGGUGGGGUAAAGGCUCACCAAGCCAACGAUCUGUAGCUGGUCUGAGAGGACGACCAGCCACACUGGAACUGAGACACGGUCCAGACUCCUACGGGAGGCAGCAGUGGGGAAUUUUGGACAAUGGGCGAAAGCCUGAUCCAGCAAUGCCGCGUGCAGGACGAAGGCCUUCGGGUUGUAAACUGCUUUUGUACGGAACGAAAAGGUAGCUCCUAAUACGAGCUGCUGAUGACGGUACCGUAAGAAUAAGCACCGGCUAACUACGUG